AUGCGGCGGUGCCGGGGCGCAGGGCUGGCGGGGCUGGCCGCGGUGCUCCUGGUGGCUGCGGGCAGCGCCCAGGUGCAGCAGGAGCCGUCGGCAGAGACCACCGAGGGCACUGGCAUCAGCAUCAGCUGCUCACACCCCAACAUACAGACCGGAGACUUCAUCCUCUGGUACCGUCAGCUCUCGGGCCGAAGCCCCGCAUUCAUCACAGUCGGUCACAAAGGGUCCCAAGAGCUGCGGGACCCUGCGGGGCGGCUGUCGGUGGCGGCAGACCGCCGGUCCAGCGCCCUGUGGCUCGCCCGGCCCCGGCGCGGGGACGCGGCGGUGUAUUACUGCGCCCUGGGAGACACGGGGAGAGGAGCCGGGGCUGCGGCCGGGCAGGAACCGCGGCGGGCGGGGCCGGGCGUGUGUGUCGGGGGCGGGGGGACAGCCCCGAGCGGGCCCGCCAGGGGGCGCUGCCGCUCCGCCCGCCGGGGCCGCCUCGCCCCGCCCGGCCCCGGGGUGGUUCCCGCAUCGACCGGCACCGGCACGAGCACCGGUGCUGGCAUCGGCAUCGGACCCGUCGAGGCCCCGCAGCCCCCGCAGCCUUGA